GUGACUUCCGGUCAUGGUGCUUUCAAUCCCAUGGAUGUUUUGAACGAAACUUCAGACCGUCUUCGGUUCUUUAUUCUAUGGGGCCUAGGUGCCGGUGCUACUGCAACGCAUCUGGAACAAAGCUUCUGCUGACGUUUCUUGUGCCCAUCAAGACCUAGCCUAUCUCUUGCAUUGUUGACAACAAAAAGCCGCAAGGGCUGAUUGCUGCUGGUUGGCUCAGUGCAGAAUCUGGCCUCACAAAUGCGAUGAGCCUAGC